GAUGAACGCUGGCGGCGUGCUUAACACAUGCAAGUCGAACGGAGCUUAUGUGACAGAGGAUUCGUCCAAUUGAUCAUAAGCUUAGUGGCGGACGGGUGAGUAACGCGUGAGGAACCUGCCUUGGAGUGGGGAAUAACACAGUGAAAAUUGUGCUAAUACCGCAUAAUGCAGUUGAGUCGCAUGGCUCUGACUGCCAAAGAUUUAUCGCUCUGAGAUGACCUCGCGUCUGAUUAGCUAGUUGGUAGGGUGACGGCCGACCAAGGCGACGAUCAGUAGCCGGACUGAGAGGUUGGCCGGCCACAUUGGGACUGAGACACGGCCCAGACUCCUACGGGAGGCAGCAGUGGGAAAUAUUGGGCAAUGGGCGCAAGCCUGACCCAGCAACGCCGCGUGAAGGAAGAAGGCUUUCGGGUUGUAAACUUCUUUUGUCAGGGACGAACACAAUGACGGUACCUGACGAAUAAGCCACGGCUAACUACGUGCCAGCCGCCGCAGUAAAAC
rnacentral:rRNA from 1 species